GACGAACGCUGGCGGCGUGCCUAAUACAUGCAAGUCGAGCGAGACUCUUCGGAGUCUAGCGGCGGACGGGUGAGUAACACGUGGGCAACCUGCCUGUAAGACUGGGAUAACACCGGGAAACCGGUGCUAAUACCGGAUAAUCCUUUUCUUCUCAUGAGGAAAAGCUGAAAGUCGGUUUCGGCUGACACUUACAGAUGGGCCCGCGGCGCAUUAGCUAGUUGGUGAGGUAACGGCUCACCAAGGCGACGAUGCGUAGCCGACCUGAGAGGGUGAUCGGCCACACUGGGACUGAGACACGACCCAGACUUCUACGGGAGGCAGCAGUAGGGAAUCUUCCACAAUGGACGAAAGUCUGAUGGAGCAACGCCGCGUGAGCGAUGAAGGCCUUCGGGUCGUAAAGCUCUGUUGUUAGGGAAGAACAAGUACCGGAGUAACUGCCGGUACCUUGACGGUACCUAACCAGAAAGCCACGGCUAACUACGUGCCAGCCGCCGCAGUAAAAC
rnacentral:rRNA from 1 species